rfam:Schistosoma curassoni strain Dakar, Senegal genome assembly, scaffold: SCTD_scaffold0002089
AUCCAGCUGACGAGUCCCAAAGAGGACGAGACGAGCGUCCUGGAU